UACGUAGGGGGCAAGCGUUGUCCGGAAUCAUUGGGCGUAAAGAGCUCGUAGGCGGCUCGGUAAGUCGGGUGUGAAACCCCCAGGCUCAACCUGGGGACGCCACCCGAUACUGCUGUGGCUAGAGUCCAGUAGGGGAGUGUGGAAUUCCCGGUGUAGCGGUGAAAUGCGCAGAUAUCGGGAGGAACACCAGUGGCGAAGGCGGCGACCUGGGCAGAUACUGACACUGAGGUGCGAAAGCGUGGGGAGCAAACAGG
rnacentral:rRNA from 1 species